rnacentral:rRNA from 1 species
UAGGUUGUAGGGAACUGAAAGGGACCGACCCUUCGGGGAGCCUAUUACAGGUGUUGCAUGGCUGUCGUCAGCUCGUGUCGUGAGAUGUUCGGUUAAGUCCGCUAACGAGCGCAACCCUCGUCGUAUGUUAUAUGUGUCAUACGAGACUGCCGGUAAAAAGCCGGAGGAAGGUGAGGAUGAUGUCAAGUCAGCAUGACCUUUAUAUCCAGGGCUACACACACGCUACAAUGGUCUGUACAAUGGGUAGCCAAGCCGCGAGGCGGAGCCAAUCCUGAAAGCAGGCCUCAGUUCAGAUUGCAGUCUGCAACUCGACUGCAUGAAGCCGGAGUUGCUAGUAACCGCAGGUCAGCAAUACUGCGGUGAAUACGUUCCCGGGUCUU